rnacentral:rRNA from 1 species
UACGGAGAGCGCAAGCAUUAAUCGGAAUUAUUGGGCGUAAAGGGCGCGUAGGCGGAAGGGUAAGUCAGAUGUGAAAUUCCGAAGCUCAACUUCGGAGCUGCAUUUGAAACUGUCCUUCUAGAGGGUUGACGGAGAAAACGGAAUUCCACGUGUAGCGGUGAAAUGCGUAGAUAUGUGGAAGAACACCAGUGGCGAAAGCGGUUUUCUAGUUGAUACCUGACGCUGAGGCGCGAGAGCAAGGGGAGCAAACAGG